AAUGUANGUUGUCUUAUCGCUUCAUAUUUUGAAGAGGAAAGUCCGGACAAUAUAGGGCAUUAUACUUCCUAACAGGAAGGUCUCUUGUGAGAACAGAUAGUGCAACAGAAAAUAUACCGCCUCCUUAGAGGUAAGGGUGAAAAGGUAGUGUAAGAGACUACCGAUUAAAUAGUGAUAUUUAAUGCAUUGUAAACCUUAUAAAUUGAAAGAUCAAAUAGUUCGAUUGUAUUUAUACAUUUAGUUGCCCGCUAAAAAUUCGAACGGGUAGAUCGCUUGAGCUUGAUAGUGAUAUCGAGUCUAGAUAAAUGAUAAGAGUCUGAUGAAUUUCAGAUACAGAAUCCGGCUUAUUAACUUACACUUUUU
rnacentral:RNase_P_RNA from 1 species